GGUUAAGUCCCGCAACGAGCGCAACCCUUCGCCCUUAGUUGCCAGCAUUCAGUUGGGCACUCUAAGGGGACUGCCGGUGAUAAGCCGAGAGGAAGGUGGGGAUGACGUCAAGUCCUCAUGGCCCUUACGGGCUGGGCUACACACGUGCUACAAUGGUGGUGACAGUGGGCAGCGAGACCGCGAGGUCGAGCUAAUCUCCAAAAGCCAUCUCAGUUCGGAUUGCACUCUGCAACUCGAGUGCAUGAAGUUGGAAUCGCUAGUAAUCGCAGAUCAGCAUGCUGCGGUGAAUACGUUCCCGGGCCUU
rnacentral:rRNA from 1 species